GCUUCUUUUCCUUCUCUCUUUUCCUUUCUUUCUUCCCUUCUCCCGAUCCCUCUUUUCCUUCCCCCUUUCUUCUCCUGCGAAGGGAGGAAGGUGCUCUCCGGAGGGGCCGAGCCACGGCCGGCGGUACCUGCGGCCGAUGCCCGAGGCCGAGCCCACGGCGUCCCCGGCUGAGCCCGUGGUCGGAGCCGACGGCUCCCUCGUUCCCACUAUGGUGGGGAAAGAAACCCACCACCGCGACUAUGGCUGCGGUCGAACUCGCCGCGACCAAGGAAGGUGGCGGUCGAGCUCACCGUGCCCGAGGGAGGGGAGGAAGGGCCUCCAGCCGUCGAUGCUGCGACCACGACUGCAGCCAAGGUCACCGCGCCAGAUCCACGGUCGAAACACCGAUGAAAGAAUGGAGAGGAAGCCGGCUAAGGGGAAGAUGGCUUGAUAAGGAAAGGAUACCCUAGAGUUUAUAUGUAAUACAGAUAGCGAAAUAUUGGCUCUAUGACCAACAUGUAGACUUAUAGCAGGCCAUUAUAACAUUAUAAUCGUCAUCAUCCUUUUACUUCCCUGUUGUUAGCGUGUGGUUCCAAAUUUUUAUUGUUAAAUAACAAACAUUAGGAUAUCCGAUGUAACAUUAUUAUUAUUAUUAUUAUUAUUAUUUA